AUCGCGCGUUUCCUUCGUCUCGUUCUCGCGCGUGAGAAAGGGCGAGAGGGGAAAGAAGUAGAAAAGAAACGAGGGCACGCGAGAGGCAAAGGAAAAAAAAUUCCCUCCACUUCGCUGAUCGGACGGCAAUUCUCGCCGGACGUAAUCGGAAAAUUUACCGGCGGGCAGAGUUCCUGCUCACCCGUUCUCGCGGAGAAGAAAUUCACAUCUGGCGGUGUCGAAAUGAAGGUCUGCCGGAAGGAGCGCCAUUCCUGGACGCCGUUUCCGGCCGGGUUCUCCCUAGGGAAAUGAAAUUCCGGAAGAAGAAAUUUGCUGCUUGGAGGAGCAAAAGAAAAUAAGUUUCCACCUUAUGGAGGGAGGUGUUCACUCAUGGAUUAUGAUGACAAAGAAUUUGCAUCUAGAAACACUCAAUUAGUUGGUGAAGAGGACAGUAAAUUCCCCCCUGGGUUGCGUUCAUAUGCACUUCCCAAGUUUGAUUUAGAUGAACAUCUUCAAGUCCAUUUAAGGUUUGACAGUUUAGGAGAAACAGGUAUAUUACUUGGCAUUGCAAAUCAGACAGAAGAACAUUGGAUCGAGGACUAUUCAAGAGAAGAUCAAAACAUCCUCGUGCUUGAUCCAGUUUCUCAGGGCCUUGACUUUGGUGUCAGUGCUGAAGAAUCUUGCACUAUUUCAAGGAGCAACAAUGUUUGGUCUGAGGCAGCUUCUUCUGAAUCUGUUGAGAUGCUACUGAAUUCUGUUGGGCAGGAUGAAAUGACCACUGAUAAAGGUGACACUGCAAAAAUGGAUGCCCCUGAUAUACUUGGUAAGCUUGACCAGCAAAUGAAUUCUGGAUUUUGUCCCACUGGUACCUCUUCUAAUGCAAGAAGUGUCUCAUCGGAUGAUUCUACAGUUCCACUUGAUAGUUGCUUGCAAAGUUUAUCUUCAUCUGGAAAAGAUCCUGUUGACGACGUGGAAGUUAUACCAGAACAUCAUGGUGAUGUUUCUGAAUGUCAAAGUCUAGGCAAUCGAGAUGAGAUGCGAAAUGACUUGCAUGAGAGUAGUGCAAGUAGACCUAGCACAUUUUUGGAAAGAAUCUCAACUGCAGUUGAAUCUUCUCAAAUGAAUGAGGUGCUAGUAGAUGAUAAGAAGUGGCCCAGAGAUGAGCUUUUGAGAGGUUUAGUUCCUCAACAAGCUGAAAACAAGUCGCAGAAUGAGGGCCCGUUUGAGGGUGAUUCUGUUGUAGAUGAUACAUUACACUGUAUCUCUGAUUUUGAUACUGAGAUAACAUCUGAAAAGCUUGUCAGCAAGCAAGCUGAUUAUCCAGCUACACGACUUGAUACCGGAGAGGGUGCCAUGCCAAGAGACACAUGUAAUGAACUUGUCUGUCAGGAGCUGCAAGGGUCUCCUGUAACUGAUAAUGCUAAUGCAACUAAUGGUAAAAUUCCUGAAAAAGAUGUAGAAAGCAAUGAUCAUCCUGUCGAGCACAAAUUUGUAGAUAACAAGCGUGAGCUGCUUGGUGAAACAUGUUUAGACAAAGAUGAUAGCAUGGUUGUCACGAACUGUGGUUUGGCACAGACGAUAUCUGCUUCUAACAUAGCUGAAGAUGUGCAAAAUUUCUCACAGUCCUCUGACUUUUGUAGCGUGGAGGUUAACACAACAAAUGUAGAAGUAGUUGUUCAUUGUUUGGAUCCUAUAUCUUCACAAAAGGAAGUUUCUGGCAGCUUAGCAAAUAGUAGAAUCGCAAAACUUACUUUAGUUAAUGAUACCUCAGAAGUUCUUAUGGAUAAUGGUCCACUAUCACAUGGCAUGAGAGAUAAUAGAAUGGCAGAUAUUGAUUCAUCAGGUUCUUCUCUCAAAGAUGCUUCACAACAAUUGUGUGGUAAUAGUGCACCUGAUCAUGCCACUGUUCUUGGCAAUGAUACAUUGGCAUCUUCAGUGUUGGAUACAUCCAAAGCUGAUGACGUUUCUCCUCUUGGAGAUAUGUCUGUGAGAUAUCCUCAGGAGCAAUCUGAGAAGGACACUAUACCAAGUAAGUUGGUUGGGUUGGAGAUUGGGACCUCUGAAGAUAUUGUAUGUACAUGCUUGCCUUCUGAAGGUCUGACAGCCACUUCUCAUCUGGUUAGCCCUGCGACAAAUGGAAUUUUUUCUGAGAAUACGUCUGAUAUUGCAGUUGUCAACAACUUGGAGGACACUGUUAAUCAGACAGUUACUGAAGAUAUCACCAUGUCAAGUAAAGAACGUGUUCAACAAAAAGAAGGAACACCUGAUGCGUCUGGAUCGGGAGAAACAGGCAACAGAAAUUUGGUUGCCUCACUUUCCUUAGAGGAUGAGGUCAAUGGUAAAUGCCAGACAGUAAACACGUCCGAUCUUGCUUCAGUUACUAAGGAACAUGCAGUUCACAUUGUUGCAGCAGAAUCACAUGGUCUGGUAAUUGGUCAUUCUUCAGCACCUGUACAACAUUCAGAUGAUAAUGUGCUCCUUACCAGGCUUCAGGCAUCUGGGGUUGGAAAGGGCACUUCUGGGGAUUCCACAGGAAUUGAGAAAAUUUCGGUUUCCUCUCCUUUAUUUGAUAAAGAAACUGAUGCACCUGUGGUUUCUGAAGUCUCUGCAAAAGGAUCUAAACUGUCGAUGGCAUCUGUGACAGAUGAAGAAACUGGCAAAGAGGAACAACCCAUACCACCUAUUGUUUCUGUUGUAGGAUCUGCGGGUGCUUUCUGUGACAACAAACAUCAGACUAAUGAAAAGUCUGCCCAUGAAGAUCCUCCUCCAAGUACUGGGAUAUGUUCAGUUGGCUGUUCAUCUGAUGUUACAUUGAUAAAUUCCUCACAUUCAGAUAUAAAAACUCCUUCCGGUGUUAUGAUGGCUCCACCAGCAUCAAAUUCAGGUGUCUACAAUAGGGAUUGUUUGAAGAAUGAUGUGAAUGCCCCAAAAGCUGACAAUGAUGUUGUCCCUGUAGAUCCUGAUUGUGGUUCGCCUACAGUCAUUAGUUGCAGUGAACCUUGUGUCAGUGACAAGGCAUGGCAUGAAGGUGAAAAACAGUCACUGGUUCAGAACUGUCCUACUUCCGGGGUUGUAUCUUGUGCUCCUGCUGAUGUUUCUGUUCACACUGAUGUCCCAAAGGCAACUGAUCGAACUCCUCAAACCCCUGAGAGAAGUAAUGUGACUGAAAGCGACAAAAGUUUCACGUUUGAGGUUGGCAAACUGGCGAGUUCAGUUGUGUGCGAAAAGAAUGGGGAAGCUUAUAAGUCAUUUCCUUCUGUUCAGCGGCUUCAGCCUGCUGAACCAUUGCAGGCAAACCAUAAAAGAUCAACUGAGAGGACACCUCGUAGUCGUAGGAAUCCAACAUCUAAUGAGAAAAGGGUGAUUGAACCUGGAAAAGACCCCAGUACAGGCAAAAGCAGGUCAAGAUUUGGUAGUCGAACUGAAAGAGUUGCUUCAGGUAAAGGAAGGCCUGCAAAAGAAUCACUUUCUACAAGGUUGAUGUCCUCAAACGCACGUGAGGGUAAAAAUUUGGCUGAUAAUUCUGCUAGUCCUGUUGGGACUUUACUAAGCACUCCAAUGCAAGUGGAAGAGGGGAAAAAGUUGGCAUACAUAGAAAGUAGCACUACAAAAUCAUACUCUAUGAAGGCUGCCCAGACAUCUAAUCUAUCAGAUUUGACUACUUUUGCUUCUCCAACAUCAGGUCUGUUUCAACAGCCCUUUACGGAUAUGCAGCAACUCCAGUUACGAGCACAGAUUUUUGUUUAUGGAUCUCUGAUUCAAGGCACAGCACCAGAUGAGGCUUGUAUGGUUUCAGCAUUUGGUGAAUCUGGGGGAGAUGGUGGAAGAAGCAUGUGGGAAACUGCAUGGCAUUUAGCAGUUGAACGUUCUCGCAGUCAGAAAUCUUGGGCAAACUCUGAGGUGUCUCCAGUUGCUAACUCAGGGAUAAAAAGUAAUGAGCAAACACCAAAAGGAAAUUCUGUUCAGGGGAAAAGUUCCAUCAUCUCUGCUGGUCGAGCUGCUGGCAAGGGUUCCUCUGUGUCACAUCCAAGUCCUGCAGUUUCUAUGCCUUCACCAACAUGGAUCAUGGCAACCUCAUCUCGUGACAUGGUCCAGGCCAAUACUGUAACAAGGACAUCACCUGUGGAUCCUCAUACAACCCUUACACCAUUACAUGUCCUGUAUCCUUCCCCCCAUAUAAGGCCUGUUGCAGGGCAUCCAAGUACUUGGCCUUCUCAUCUUCCCAGUCCUGUUCCCUGGAUUUUUCCUCCUCAAGCAUCAACCAUGGAUGGUACACCAUAUGCCACUUUCCCCACACCAGAAACUGUUCACGCAACUUCUAUUCGGGAACAUCCUGUGGCAGCAUCUGUGAAUGUAACUUCUAUUAGUCAACCAAUUGCUUCCAGUCCCUUGUCCACUGCUGUGAGUUCUGCAGUGGCUUCUGCAGGCAUACAUACAGAAGUGUUGCCGACUACCACUUGUGGUAUGCUGCCUUCUACAGGCUCAAAACCCAGGAAGAGGAAAAAGAGCACGCCUGCAGAGAAUAGUUCACUUCCAUAUGUUCAUCCUUUUCCUACAGAAUUAGGUUCUGUGGCAGUAACUCCUACUAAGCAGAUCCAUGUACCUACUUCUGUUAGCACACCUACUACUUUUUCAUUCACUUCUGCGGUAUCUACAUCAAGAGCUGCUUCUGGUGAACCUACACCUAGUCCCUUGGCACUGUCAAAUUAUCAGAUAUGUGGCAAUAACCCUGAGCAAAGAGCUAUCUUUUCAAAAGAGGCCUGCAGUCGAAUUGAACAGGCUAAGAGACAAGCAGAAGAUGCUGCAGCAGUUUCAGCAUCUGCUGUCAGGCAUAGCCAGGACAUCUGGAGUCAUCUCGCUGUAAAGAGGAAUUCUGGACUUGUUUCUGAUGUUGAAGAAACACUGGCAUCUGCAGCUGUUGCAGCUGCUGCAGCUGCUUCGGUAGCAAAGGCAGCUGCUGCAGCAGCUAAGGUUGCAUCUGAUGCAGCAUUGCAAGCAAAACUGAUGGCUGAUGAGGCUUUGACUAUGAAUAAGGCGUUUACUGGUGUUUGUGGUACUGAGCCCGAUACUUCUGAUGGUAUGAGAAGCUCUGGGAUUGUUACUGCAUCAUCUUUGAAUGGGAAAGUGAAACAGGGAGUCUCCAGUUCAGCCCUUGAAUUUGCAAGGGAGGCUGCUAGAAAGAGGGUUGAAGCUGCUUCAGCUGCAACAAAACGGGCACAGAAUCUUGAUGCAGUAGUAAAGGCUGCAGAGUUAGCUACAGAGGCUAUAUCACAAGCAACUGCAAUUGUUGCAAUGGGUGACCCUAUCCCGAUGACAUUGACUGAGUUACUUGAAGCAGGUCCUGGGGGUUACUGGAAAGAUCAAGAUGUCUUUAGUUCGUUCACAAAGAAAACAAAAACCAUGGAGAUACUACAGCUGUCAAAUGGGGCUCGUAUAGAACCUAAUAAUAGCUUGUAUUUGAAGUAUUCACCUAAAAAAGAUAUUAUGCUCGGUUUUGAUGAGGGGAAUGGCAAUGCUUCUAAAGAUUCAUCCAAACAGUCAACUGACGACCAGAGAGAGCUGAUCAGUGGGGCUUGUGUUGCUGUUCCCAUCAUUGAAACUACAGAGAUAAACCAAAAGAAGCAAAAACUUUCUCAGUCCAUUAAUAGUGUUGGAUCCAUCCCUUCAUCUGAACAUGUUUCAGGAAAUGUGUCCAUGUCCAUGCAAUUUGAAGACUUCGGAAAAGAUGAGCAAAGUGAAGCUUCAAAUGAAAAAUCCAUUAAGCAGGGAUCACUUGUUGAGGUUAUUUCUGAUGAGGAAGGUCUUAGAGCAGUCUGGUUCUCAGCCAGGGUAUUAGAGGUAAAGGAUGGAAAGGCCUAUGUCUGCUACAAUAAUCGUUUGUCUGAUGAAGGCCCAGGGCAGCUCAAAGAGUGGAUACCUCUUAAACUUGAUGGUAAACCUCCAAGAAUACGCAUCGCUCAUCCUAUGACUGCCGUGAAAUUUGAAGGUACAAGAAAACGACGUCGAGCAGCUAUGGGAAACUAUAACUGGUCUGCUGGUGAUCAUGUUGAUGCCUGGAUGCGUGACGGCUGGUGGGAAGGGAUUAUCAUGGAGAAAAGUAAAGAAGAUGAAUCUAAAUUGACCGUUCGUUUUCAAGCUGAGGGAGAUGCCCGGACUAUAAGAGCUUGGGACAUUCGACCAUCUUUAAUUUGGAAGGAUAGUCAGUGGGUAGAGUGGUCAAGGGACUCUGGUUGUUGGCUUAAUGAGCAAGGGGAUGCUCCAUUGGAUGAACGGCAAAAGUUGGAUAGGAAUCUUGAAAAUGAUUCCUCACUUGACAAGGGACAAGAAAAUCCACCAAAGAUUGUGUGUUCUGCUAGCUCACCCCAAGAAUUGACAGAACUGGGUUUGGCAAGCAAAGACACGUUUUGUCUUGGAAGGAGCACCGCUGAGAACAAUGAGCUGGCUUCAGGGAGGAUUACGCGAACUGGACUGCAGAAACAAGGAUCAAGGGUGGUGUUUGGGGUUCCAAAACCUGGGAAGAAAAGGAAAUUUAUGGACGUAAGCAAGCACUAUGGUGCAGAACAGGUUGGCAAGGUUGGUGACACAAAUAACAUGGCGAAGUUUUCCAGGUAUUUGAUGCCACAGAAAACCUCUGGUGGAACAAGUGCUUCUAAAGAUGAUCCAAAGGGAGGCCGAACGACCAACACAAGGUCCAAGGAUGUGUUGGGAAAGUUGCAGGGGGGUCAAAGUAAAAGCAGAUCUAGAAAGGUUAUACAGUCAGUUUCUUGUUUGCCACCUUCCAGUGGGUCUAUUGAGACUGACCAAUUGAGUGGGCAACCUUGUCUUACCCAUGAAGGGAACCCAGAGAAACAGAACCGAGCAGAAAUUGUAUCUGACAUUCCUAAAGCACCAAAUACUUCACGCCCUUUUUCUUCUAUUGGGCGGGAUCUAUUACCACAUGGAAAGAAGGUCCCUUCAGCUGUAGAUUCUAGAGUGGCCCCAAAAGUAAAAGUUGCAGCAGCGGCUGAAAGGUCAUCUUCUGGUGAAGGAAAGCUGGUGCCUGACUUGGCUGAGCCUCGGAGGUCUAAUCGCAGAAUUCAGCCAACUUCAAGGCUACUGGAAGGAUUACAAAGCUCCUUAACCAUCGGCAAGGUCUCUUCGAGUGCAGUGCCUGACAAGGGUAGCAAAGCGUUGACCAGGAGCGUUAAUUCUUCUGUCAGAGGAAAUGGUCAUGGCUUACAGAAAUAACUAGAGUUGAAAAUCAAGGUUUCUUUUUGCACCACGAUGAUAAGGUGGACAAAGAAAUACAGCCGUUUCAGUUUUCAGUGUACAUAACGUUAGCUGUAGGUGGAGGUAUGGAUGGCCCUGGCUUUUGUGGAGACGGUUGUAGCAUGCACUAUAUGUGUAAAAGUUACUAACUUGUUUUUCUUAUCCGUAAUGGCGCAAGUGCAGUCUUGCAACUCACGUGACACUCCAUAGUUCAUGGAAGGAGAAUACGUACAAAGCUCCUUGUCAUGCUGGCAUGAACCAAUGGUUGUAUAUAUUUUAUAUAUACUAAAUGCUUAGAUGGUCGUGGCUCUCAGGCUCUUAACCUGGCAACUGAAGUUGCUGUUCCUUGGGGAAAGCGUUUGUUAGGCUGUUCGGAAGUGUCUAGGUGUAAAAAACGGUUUUAGUGCGUGUAUCUCUUUUUUUGAUAAAAUAUCAAUACUGUGUGCCGCCUGUA